CGUUUCUUCUGCAAAGUCUGGACCAGGAUUUGGAGGGGCAAAUUUCCAGAAUCAUAGACCAGUGCAUGCAGGACAACUGAUCUUGGCAAGGAAGGAAAGCAGACUUUCAUAGCGGUGCCAGGACACUCACUCCCUUUGCAGGUUGGCAACAGGUGCCAGUCCCCAGGACGUGCUGGGAGGAGUGUGUGCAGGAGAAGCCACAGAAGAUAUGCCAGAGAACCAAAGGGGUUGGUGGCCACAGCUUCCCACACUGCCCACAGAGAACUGAGCACCCAAGCCAACUGAGGAAAGGAUGAGGAG